rnacentral:rRNA from 1 species
CGCCUGGGGAGUGCGGCCGCAAGGCUAAAACUCAAAGGAAUUGACGGGGCCCCGCACAAGCGGCGGAGCAUGCGGAUUAAUUCGAUGCAACGCGAAGAACCUUACCUGGGUUUGACAUGGAUCGGGAGCUUCCAGAGAUGGUUGUGCCUCUUUUGGGGUCGGUUCACAGGUGGUGCAUGGCUGUCGUCAGCUCGUGUCGUGAGAUGUUGGGUUAAGUCCCGCAACGAGCGCAACCCUCGUCCACUGUUGCCAGCAAUUCGGUUGGGGACUCAGUGGAGACCGCCGGGGUCAACUCGGAGGAAGGUGGGGAUGACGUCGAGUCAUCAUGCCCCUUAUGUCCAGGGCUUCACGCAUGCUUCAAUGGCCGGUACAGUGAGUUGCGACAUCGUAAGGUGGAGCGAAUCUCAAAAAGCCGGUCUCAGUUCGGAUUGGGGUCUGCAACUCGACCUCAUGAAGUCGGAGUCGCUAGUAAUCGCAGAUCAGCAACGCUGCGGUGAAUACGUUCCCGGGGCUCGUACACACCGCCCGUCAAGUCAUGAAAGUCGGUAACACACGAAGCCGGUGGCCUAACACUUUUUGUGGGGGAGCUGUCGAAGGUGGGACUGGUGAUUAGGACUAAGUCGUAACAAGGUAACCGUA